UACAGAGGUCCCAAGCGUUGUUCGGAUUCACUGGGCGUAAAGAGCUCGUAGGCGGUUCGGCAAGUCGAAUGUGAAAUCUCCACGCUCAACGUGGAGGGGUCAUUCGAUACUGCCGUGACUCGAGUCCGGUAGGGGAGUGUGGAAUUCCCGGUGUAGCGGUGAAAUGCGCAGAGAUCGGGAGGAACACCCGUAGCGAAGGCGGCACUCUGGGCCGGUACUGACGCUGAGGAGCGAAAGCGUGGGGAGCAAACAGGG
rnacentral:rRNA from 1 species